rnacentral:rRNA from 1 species
AGCCUCUAGUGAGUUCAUACACGGCCCGUACCCCAAACCGACACAGGUGAUCAGGUAGAGAAUACCAAGGCGAUCGAGAGAACUGUGGUUAAGGAACUCGGCAAGAUGCCCCCGUAACUUCGGGAGAAGGGGGACCAUGCCCGGUGAACAUCUUCACGGUGGGAGCUGGGUGUGGUCGCAGAGACCAGAGAGAAGCGACUGUUUACUAAAAACACAGGUCCGUGCGAAGACGUAAGUCGAUGUAUACGGACUGACGCCUGCCCGGUGCUGGAAGGUUAAGAGGACCGGUUAGCCGUAAGGCGAAGCUGAGAAUUUAAGCCCCAGUAAACGGCGGUGGUAACUAUAACCAUCCUAAGGUAGCGAAAUUCCUUGUCGGGUAAGUUCCGACCUGCACGAAUGGCGUAACGACUUCUCUGCUGUCUCGACCACAGACUCGGCGAAAUUGCACUACGAGUAAAGAUGCUCGUUACGCGCGGCAGGACGAAAAGACCCCGGGACCUUUACUAUAGCUUGGUAUUGGCGUUCGAUUCGGUCUGUGUAGGAUAGGUGGGAGACUGUGAAGCAUGCACGCCAGUGUGUGUGGAGUCGUUGUUGAAAUACCACUCUGAUCGUAUUGGACGUCUAACCUCGGCCCAUGAUCUGGGUUAGGGACAGUGCCUGGUGGGUAGUUUAACUGGGGCGGUUGCCUCCUAAGGAGUAACGGAGGCGCCCAAAGGUUCCCUCAGCCUGGAUGGCAAUCAGGUGUUGAGUGCAAGUGCACAAGGGAGCUUGACUGUGAGACUGACACGUCGAGCAGGGACGAAAGUCGGGACUAGUGAUCCGGCACCGGCAAGUGGAAGCGGUGUCGCUCAACGGAUAAAAGGUACCCCGGGGAUAACAGGCUGAUCUUCCCCAAGAGUCCAUAUCGACGGGAUGGUUUGGCACCUCGAUGUCGGCUCGUCGCAUCCUGGGGCUGGAGUAGGUCCCAAGGGUUGGGCUGUUCGCCCAUUAAAGCGGCACGCGAGCUGGGUUUAGAACGUCGUGAGACAGUUCGGUCUCUAUCCGCCGCGCGCGUAAGAAACUUGAGGAAGGCUGUCCCUAGUACGAGAGGACCGGGACGGACAAACCUCUGGUGUGCCAGUUGUUCCACCAGGAGCAUGGCUGGUUAGCUACGUUCGGAAGGGAUAACCGCUGAAAGCAUCUAAGCGGGAAGCCUGUUCCAAGAUGAGGUUUCUCACCACCUUGCGUGGUUAAGGCCCCCUACAGACCAUGGGGUUGAUAGGCCGGAACUGGAAGCGCAGCAAUGCGUGGAGGUGACCGGUACUAAUAGGCCGAGGGCC